rnacentral:rRNA from 1 species
CAGCAGCCGCGGUAAUACGAAGGGGGCUAGCGUUGCUCGGAAUUACUGGGCGUAAAGGGAGCGUAGGCGGACUGUUUAGUCAGAGGUGAAAGCCCAGGGCUCAACCUUGGAAUUGCCUUUGAUACUGGCAGUCUUGAGUACGGAAGAGGUAUGUGGAACUCCGAGUGUAGAGGUGAAAUUCGUAGAUAUUCGGAAGAACACCAGUGGCGAAGGCGACAUACUGGUCCGUUACUGACGCUGAGGCUCGAAAGCGUGGGGAGCAAACAGGAUUAGAUACCCCUGUAGUCCCUGUCUCUUAUAC